CGGGGGAAAAAUUUAUUGCUAUUAGAUGAGCCUAUAUUAGAUUAGCUAGUUGGUGGGGUAAUAGCCUACCAAGGUAAUGAUCUAUAGCUGAUCUGAGAGGAUGAUCAGCCACACUGGAACUGAGAUACGGUCCAGACUCCUACGGGAGGCAGCAGUGGGGAAUAUUGGACAAUGGGCGAAAGCCUGAUCCAGCCAUGCCGCAUGAGUGAAGAAGGCCUUUGGGUUGUAAAGCUCUUUUAGUGAGGAAGAUAAUGACGGUACUCACAGAAGAAGUCCUGGCUAACUCCGUGCCAGCAGCCGCGGUAAUACGGAGAGGGCUAGCGUUAUUCGGAAUUAUUGGGCGUAAAGGGCGCGUAGGCUGGUUAAUAAGUUAAAAGUGAAAUCCCGAGGCUUAACCUUGGAAUUGCUUUUAAAACUAUUAAUCUAGAGAUUGAAAGAGGAUAGAGGAAUUCCUGAUGUAGAGGUAAAAUUCGUAAAUAUUAGGAGGAACACCAGUGGCGAAGGCGUCUAUCUGGUUCAAAUCUGACGCUGAAGCGCGAAGGCGUGGGGAGCAAACAGGAUUAGAUACCCUGGUAGUCCACGCUGUAAACGAUGAAUGUUAAAUAUGGGGAGUUUACUUUCUGUAUUACAGCUAACGCGUUAAACAUUCCGCCUGGGGACUACGGUCGCAAGAUUAAAACUCAAAGGAAUUGACGGGGACCCGCACAAGCGGUGGAGCAUGUGGUUUAAUUCGAUGCAACGC
rnacentral:rRNA from 1 species